UAAUUAAUACUGCUCCAAAGGAACAAUAUUGUUCUGAGGAGCCAGCUGUCGUCACGAAAAUAAUGAUCACUUCUCUUACUUUUUUAGGCCGAGGUAUUAGAAAACGAGAGUGCUUCCUCUAUGCUAAGAAGAAGAAAGGAGCCUCAGAUCCUGGAGACAGAAUUAUGCUCUCUGGCAGAUAUGCCAACUUCAUUCAUAACCUAGGAAACUGCACCACUUCCCAGGACCUACCAGCAGCAACCCAUUCCCUGCAUUAAUAGAAUUAUGGAUGGCCAAAUACAGUAUUCCACUUGGGGGGUGAGUACUGGGUUAGUAAUACAGGGAUGAAGAAGGGCAUGGGAAGGAGCCAGUUAUCACAGUGGGCCUCUCUAGGGAACGAUCUCCAACUUGGCAGAAGCUUGGGGAGACGCCCGUGUUCCUGGCCACAGGCUGCAACUAACAGCCUCUGUACGCCACUGCCUAACUGGGACAACAAAUCCCUGGAGACGAAGAAGAAGCAGUGUCUGGUGCACCCAGCAUAAACUCUGUGUGGACAUCCGUUCUCCAUGUUUCCCUCUCCAGCAGCCCCUCGAUUUCUGUUUGGGGAUUCGCACCAUACCUGAAAGGCUAAUUCCAUCUGAGUGGCAAGAAAGGAACACGUGGCAGCAAGGAGGAAACAGUGUUCUGGGCUAAGCCAUCAGCACGUUCUGUCCCCCUUGGCCACAGUGACUGUGAGCUAAGCACAAUUGUUCAGUGUGAGUCUCAGGAUCUCUGCUUUGGAAUACAAGAUGAAGCUCCUCUGUCCCUCUUGGUGUAUUUGAAUAAGAAGCAAGAGUCAUUCAGGAACCACAGAAGGAGUCUGACUUAGGAUACAGCCAACAUAAAAAAAAA